AUGAACGCUGACAGAAUGCUUAACACAUGCAAGUCUACUUGAUCCUUCGGGUGAAGGUGGCGGACGGGUGAGUAACGCGUAAAGAACUUGCCUUACAGACUGGGACAACAUUUGGAAACGAAUGCUAAUACCGGAUAUUAUGAUUGGGUCGCAUGAUCUGGUUAUGAAAGCUAUAUGCGCUGUGAGAGAGCUUUGCGUCCCAUUAGUUAGUUGGUGAGGUAACGGCUCACCAAGACGAUGAUGGGUAGCCGGCCUGAGAGGGUGAACGGCCACAAGGGGACUGAGACACGGCCCUUACUCCUACGGGAGGCAGCAGUGGGGAAUAUUGGACAAUGGACCAAAAGUCUGAUCCAGCAAUUCUGUGUGCACGAUGAAGUUUUUCGGAAUGUAAAGUGCUUUCAGUUGGGAAGAAGUCAGUGACGGUACCAACAGAAGAAGCGACGGCUAAAUACGUGCCAGCAGCCGCGGUAAUACGUAUGUCGCAAGCGUUAUCCGGAUUUAUUGGGCGUAAAGCGCGUCUAGGCGGCUUAGUAAGUCUGAUGUGAAAAUGCGGGGCUCAACCCCGUAUUGCGUUGGAAACUGCUAAACUAGAGUACUGGAGAGGUAGGCGGAACUACAAGUGUAGAGGUGAAAUUCGUAGAUAUUUGUAGGAAUGCCGAUGGGGAAGCCAGCCUACUGGACAGAUACUGACGCUAAAGCGCGAAAGCGUGGGUAGCAAACAGGAUUAGAUACCCUGGUAGUCCACGCCGUAAACGAUGAUUACUAGGUGUUGGGGGUCGAACCUCAGCGCCCAAGCUAACGCGAUAAGUAAUCCGCCUGGGGAGUACGUACGCAAGUAUGAAACUCAAAGGAAUUGACGGGGACCCGCACAAGCGGUGGAGCAUGUGGUUUAAUUCGACGCAACGCGAGGAACCUUACCAGCGUUUGACAUCCCAAGAAGUUAACAGAGAUGUUUUCGUGCCUCUUCGGAGGAACUUGGUGACAGGUGGUGCAUGGCUGUCGUCAGCUCGUGUCGUGAGAUGUUGGGUUAAGUCCCGCAACGAGCGCAACCCCUGUUUCUAGUUGCCAGCACGUCAAGGUGGGAACUCUAGAAAGACUGCCGUAGAUAAUACGGAGGAAGGUGGGGAUGACGUCAAGUCAUCAUGCUCCUUAUACGCUGGGCUACACACGUGCUACAAUGGGUAGUACAGAGAGCUGCAAACCUGCGAGGGUAAGCUAAUCUCAUAAAACUAUUCUUAGUUCGGAUUGUACUCUGCAACUCGAGUACAUGAAGUUGGAAUCGCUAGUAAUCGCAAAUCAGCUAUGUUGCGGUGAAUACGUUCUCGGGUCUUGUACACACCGCCCGUCACACCACGAGAGUUGGUUGCACCUGAAGUAACAGGCCUAACCGUAAGGAGGGAUGUUCCGAGGGUGUGAUUAGCGAUUGGGGUG
rnacentral:rRNA from 1 species